CCUACGGGAGGCAGCAGUGAGGAAUAUUGGUCAAUGGGCGCGAGCCUGAACCAGCCAAGUAGCGUGAAGGAUGACCGCCCUACGGGUUGUAAACUUCUUUUAUAAAGGAAUAAAUUGAGGCACGUGUGCCUUUUUGUAUGUACUUUAUGAAUAAGGAUCGGCUAACUCCGUGCCAGCAGCCGCGGUAAUACGGAGGAUCCGAGCGUUAUCCGGCAUGACUGGGCGUAAAGGGUGCGUAGGUGGUUUGGCAAGUUAGUCGCGUAACCCCGGGGCUCAACCUCGGAACUACUACGAAAACUGGCGGACUUGAGUGCAGGAGGGGCAAUCGGAAUUCAUAGUGUAGCGGUGGAAUGCGUAGAUAUUAGGAGGAACACCAGUGGCGAAGGCGAAUUGCUGGACUGUAACUGACACUGAGGCACGAAAGCGUGGGGAGCAAACAGGAUUAGAUACCCCAGUAGUC
rnacentral:rRNA from 1 species